GGGGAUAUGGCUUAGUGGUAGAGCUCAUACUUUGAGUGCAUGAGACCCUGGGUUUGAUUCCCAGCACCACCA
rnacentral:tRNA from 1 species